rnacentral:lncRNA from 1 species
AGCAAAACCUGUGCAUGCACAAAAUCAUACAUAAACCCCACACUGGAGUCCUCAUCAAAUACUCCAAUGGGGUAUCAUCAUCAUACAUAUUAGCUUGGAUAAUCAUGGUCAUUAACAUCAUUACUCAUUAAACACUCUGUACAUAAUGGGGAUUCACACACCUCUAGGUCAAGCACUACUAUAAUCCUCAAUACAUCAUCAUAUCAUUCAUUACAUUACAUGGUCAUAAAUACUCAUUACAUCAUGUUCAUGUCCACUACUAUCUAUU